rnacentral:snoRNA from 1 species
UUUGGCAGAUGAUGAUAUAUUAUGUAAAUGCUGAAUAAUCAUGUCGAUUAUUUACUCCGCUUAUUAUCUGAUGCCAUU